rnacentral:lncRNA from 1 species
GUGGGAUCUGAGGGGCGGCAGGGACAGACCGCGUGGGGCUUUGAAGUCAUAGUAAGGAUUCUGGACUGUGUGGCGGGAACCACGGAAUCCAGGAGCCCGUUUGGAACUGCUGCAGCUCAGACUGUUAAUGUCUCCUCCCCACCUGGUGCUCGGUGACUUCACACAGGUCCUUAAGCCUUGCCCAGCUUACCGCUGGGGCAAAUGUUCGUGGUUGCCCUUCAGCGUUUCAGGGAGAACUGCAUGAAACCACGCAGUCUUUGGGUAAGCAUUUCCUGGUGCCUCCUGUGUGUCAGGCGUCAAGCCAACUCCUGAGGGUACAGCCAUGCAGCAGGUCUCACAUGGUCCCUGCCUUCAUGGAGAUUACAGGCUAGGGAGGGGAACAGACAUUAAAUAAUACAGAUCGCUAUUGACUUACAGUUGUGAUGAGUGCUACAGAGUAA